UUUUAACGAUAUUUUCAAUGACCGGGUCGUAUUUAGAAUUCUGUUUUGAAACACGACCAUUAUGUUUGUUAUAGGUACUCGGCGAAAUCGCUUUGCAAUACCAAAUUGGUACGUUACAGUUUAUUAUGCGAUCCGAAAUCAUCUUUAAUAUCUCAAAAUCCGUCCAGUGCUUAGCAGCCAACAUUUGAAGAUUUUACUAUUUUCUGGAAUUUCAAAAAUUAUCUCUCGUUACCUUUGCUACCUCUUUGCAGAUGGUUGACGAAACAUUAGAUUUUAUGGACAAAUACCUUUCUGUUGGUGUUGCUUUAUUUGUGAACUUACUCCACUUUUCCUGUUACUUAUCUAUUAAUCUUUCCUUUUGAUUUUUCGGUUUUUUAAAGAAAAUACUUUAACUAUAAAAUUCUGUUAAUUUGGCAGACGUAAAUAAUGAAACCAUUUGCAGCUGCUUAAAAGCCUUGCGUCGAUCGGCGCCUGAAAGCAAAUUACGAAAACUGCACAGCAUUUUAAGCAACUGGUUAUAUGAUGGUGCUUUCUUGCGCUUAAUUUGGCCGAUUUGUUAUUACAUGGAGAAAAGCAAUCCAAACAUCAAAUCCAAUUUUCUUAUGUAAAUACAAAAAUAAUGGUGCAA